GGGGUUGUGGCUCAGUGGUAGAGUGCUUGCCUCAUACGUGCGAGGCCCUGGGUUCAAUCCUCAGCACCA
rfam:Ictidomys tridecemlineatus contig043834, whole genome shotgun sequence.